GUCUUUCUAGUAUUAACGAGUAUACGUGACUUCCACUCUCUAGGUCUUGGUUCAAAUCCAGGGAAAGAUA
rnacentral:tRNA from 1 species